GUCUAUAAGAUGACGAUUGGACUGCAAGGACAAAAGGUUCCUAAAGAGAGAUGUUGAUGAUGAUGAUGCUGACAACAAUGAUGGUGACAAAGUUGUUGCUCAAAAUGAAAAUUGAAACAAAGACAGACACAGGAGUAGCUGUGUGGUACAAGGCCUGAAAUUGGGGAGGGGCGCAGUUGAUUACCAUCAACCCAGUACCAGUCAUAUACUUCGGAUGAUGAAAUCAAAGUUGACCUCUGUCGAAAUCAAACUCAGGAUGUGAAAAGCUGAAAGAAAUACCACAACGCAUUUGAUGCUCACACAAGUCUAAUUGCUCACCACCCUAACAACAACAACAACAACAACCAUCGUCGUCGCCAUCGUCAUCAUCAUCAUCAUCAUUAUUUAACAUCUGUUGUCCAUGCUGACAUGGGCUGAACAGUUUGAAUGGGCUGGCAUGCUGGAAGGCUGCACCAGACUCCAGUCUGGUUUGACACAGUUUUCUACAGCUGGAUGCCCUUCCUAACGCCAACCACUCCGAGAGCGUAAUGAGUGCUUUUAUAUGCCACCGGUACGAGUACCAUUUGUGUGACACCGGGGUGCUUUUAUGUGACACUGGGGUGCUUUUUACACUGGGAUGCUUUUUUUAAUAAUAAUAAUAAUAAUAAUAAUGGUUUCAAAUUUUGGCACAAGACUAGCAGUUUCUGGGGAUGGGAUAAGUCAAUUAAAUUGACCCCAGUACUCAACUGAGUCUUAUUUUAUGAACCCCAAAAGGAUGAAUGACAAAGUUGACCAUGGCGAAAUUUGAAUUCAGAACAU